UUCAUAGUAGCUAGUCAGGUUUUUAGUUUUCGUAUGUUUCGUACGACUAUCCACCAACGCAACCGCGAAACCAAACCAAAUGCGGUGUCCAGGAAAAGAACUUUAUUAAAACAGACAAUUCAGCGCAAAGCUUUUAGCAGCAUACGAGGGACGGUGCAAGUUUAUAUCCCCUGAGGAAGGCCGAGUCCAAUGGCCGAAACGUCGGAAUUAAACAAGUAGCACUUGUCUUGAUUUUACGCUAGACUGAAAAGCCACCCGAAAACAAU